rnacentral:lncRNA from 1 species
AUUUGUUCGUUUUAGUUCGUUUGUUGAUUUUAUUUUUCGUUUCACUUUACCUUUUUACCAAUUACCAAUUUUAAUUCAUUUUAUUUUUUUAUUUACAUUUCGGUCCCCCAAAAGAGUCCCAAAAUUGCAUUUUUGUCCAAUACUUUUUUUAAUUGCAUUUUUUUUAGUCUUUUUUUUUUAUUGCAGAUUAGUCCUCAUAUUAACUUUUUUGCAGAUUAGUCCUUAAGUCCAAAACAGUCCAGGUGUCAAUUUUCCAUUGGGUCUCCAAUACACAUGGCAGGCUAUAAAUAGUAAAUGUGUCAGAUCCAUCACAA